AGAGGAGCCUGCAGGCGCUCCCCCUGCAGGCCCCCAUUGUCAGUUACUACCUACUCUCCCUUGUCACCUUCUAUAAACACCCACCUCCUGAGCUGCUCCGAUAAUCACGGAGCUUGUCUAAUGUUAGAGCAUGACUCACUUAA